GGCUCAGGAUGAACGCUAGCUACAGGCUUAACACAUGCAAGUCAGGGGCAGCAUGAUCAAAGCUGCUUGAUGAUGGCGACCGGCGCACGGGUGAGUAACGCGUAUCCAACCUUCCCUAUAGUAGUGGAUAGCCCGGCGAAAGUCGGAUUAAUACACUAUGUUAUUCAACGAGGACAUCUGAAAUGAAUCAAAGGCUUGCCGCUAUAGGAUGGGGAUGCGUCUGAUUAGAUAGUAGGCGGGGUAACGGCCCACCUAGUCGACGAUCAGUAGGGGUUCUGAGAGGAAGGUCCCCCACAUUGGAACUGAGACACGGUCCAAACUCCUACGGGAGGCAGCAGUGAGGAAUAUUGGUCAAUGGACGGGAGUCUGAACCAGCCAAGUAGCGUGCCAGGAUGACGGCCCUAUGGGUUGUAAACUGCUUUUAUACGGGGAUAAAGUGAGCCACGUGUGGCUUUUUGUAGGUACCGUAUGAAUAAGGACCGGCUAAUUCCGUGCCAGCAGCUGC
rnacentral:rRNA from 1 species